rnacentral:rRNA from 1 species
CUACGGGAGGCUGCAGUAAGGAAUAUUGGGCAAUGGACGGAAGUCUGACCCAGCCAUCCCGCGUGCAGGAAGAAUGCCCUAUGGGUUGUAAACUGCUUUUGUUUGGGAAGAAAUGUACUUUUUCAAGAGUAUUUGACGGUACCAGACGAAUAAGCACCGGCUAACUCCGUGCCAGCAGCCGCGGUAAUACGGAGGGUGCAAGCGUUAUCCGGAAUCACUGGGUUUAAAGGGUGCGUAGGCGGCCAGAUAAGUCAGAGGUGAAAGUUUCCGGCUCAACCGGGAGAUUGCCUUUGAUACUGUUUGGCUUGAGUCAGAUUGAGGUUGGCGGAAUGUGACAUGUAGCGGUGAAAUGCAUAGAUAUGUCAUAGAACAUCGAUUGCGAAGGCAGCUGGCUGGAUCUGUAUUGACGCUGAGGCACGAAAGCGUGGGGAGCAAACAGGAUUAGAUACCCGAGUAGUC